rnacentral:tRNA from 3 species
GCCGACUUAGCUCAGUUGGGAGAGCGUUAGACUGAAGAUCUAAAGGUCCUUGGUUCGAACCCGAGAGCCGGCA